GACGAACGCUGGCGGCGUGCCUAAUACGUGCAAGUAGAACGCUGAAGGAGGAGCUUGCUUCUCUGGAUGAGUUGCGAACGGGUGAGUAACGCGUAGGUAACCUGCCUGGUAGCGGGGGAUAACUAUUGGAAACGAUAGCUAAUACCGCAUAAUAUUGACUAUUGCAUGAUAGUCAGUUGAAAGGUGCAACUGCACCACUACCAGAUGGACCUGCGUUGUAUUAGCUAGUUGGUGGGGUAACGGCUCACCAAGGCGACGAUACAUAGCCGACCUGAGAGGGUGAUCGGCCACACUGGGACUGAGACACGGCCCAGACUCCUACGGGAGGCAGCAGUAGGGAAUCUUCGGCAAUGGACGGAAGUCUGACCGAGCAACGCCGCGUGAGUGAAGAAGGUUUUCGGAUCGUAAAGCUCUGUUGUAAGAGAAGAACGAGUGUGAGAGUGGAAAGCUCACACUGUGACGGUAUCUUACCAGAAAGGGACGGCUAACUACGUG
rnacentral:rRNA from 1 species